UACGUAGGGUGCAAGCGUUGUCCGGAAUUAUUGGGCGUAAAGAGCUCGUAGGCGGUCUGUCGCGUCCGCUGUGAAAACUCAGGGCUUAACCCUGAGCUUGCAGUGGGUACGGGCAGACUAGAGUGCGGUAGGGGAGACUGGAAUUCCUGGUGUAGCGGUGAAAUGCGCAGAUAUCAGGAGGAACACCGGUGGCGAAGGCGGGUCUCUGGGCCGUAACUGACGCUGAGGAGCGAAAGCAUGGGGAGCGAACAGG
rnacentral:rRNA from 1 species